UCCCUGGUGGUAUUGUGUUCAGGAUUUGGUGCUCUCACUGCCGUGGCCCUGGCUCGACUCCUGGUCAGGGAA